rnacentral:lncRNA from 1 species
UUUUUUUUUUUUUUGAGACAGAGCCUGGCUAAGAUGCUGAGGCUGGCCUUGAAUUUGUGAUUCUCUUGCCUCAGCCUCCGGAUUUGCAGAGAUCACAGGUGUGGCCACUGCCCACCACUGACCCUCUCCUCCCCCUAGAAUGGAAGCCCCAGAGAAGGAGGUAUUUGUGUUUCAUUAACUGAAGCACAAGCAGCACCUAGGCUGGUGCCCAGCACACAGUAGGGGCUCAAUAAAGACUUUGGGAGAGUGAUGAGUGGGCAGGAUGGGGAUGAAUCCUUGUGUAAGGGUCUGGAGCUGCAGCGCCCAGGGCCCCACUGGCCUUGCUGCUUCCUGCCUUGGCUAAGCCAGUUCGCGUCUCUGUUCCCAGGAAAUGGUCCCUGUGGGAAACCCCCACGAUCACCAGGGAGGCUGUAGAUAGUACAGUCACUUUGGAGAGCAAUCUGGCACUUUCUCGAAAGGUAAACUGCGGACUUCUCAUUCAGCCUCGUGAUUCUGCCCAAGAGAAAUGAAAGUAAGCGUCCACACACAGACGUGUCCGCACAUGUUUAGAGCAGUGCUCCUCCGCAGCCCAGGAGCAGAAACAGCCCCACACCCGCUGGCCGAGGAGGGUCAACGGCAUGGUCUGUCGGCACACAGAACAUGACUGAGCCGGAGGAAGGGAUGAAGGUCUGAAAUUCACACCCUGGAAGGACCUUGGAGGCGUUGUGCUGGGUCAAAGAGCAGGCGCCAAGCCACCAUCUACAAAUCCGCUGUCUCGGAUGUCCAGAGUAGGCAAAGUUGAGGGACAGUGGGUCAGGGCUGCUGGGUAGAGGUGGGGCGAGAGGGACUUCCGUGGGCGGAGAGCUGUUUGGGGGGUGUCAAUAUGCUCUAAAACUGGAUUGUGGCACUGGUUAAAUUUAUUAAAAAUCAGUGAGUGAAACGUGAA